rnacentral:rRNA from 1 species
GACGAACGCUGGCGGCGUGCCUAACACAUGCAAGUCGAGCGAGGAACUUCGGUUCCUAGCGGCGGACGGGUGAGUAACACGUGGGCAACCUGCCUUGUAGAGGGGGAUAGCCUUCCGAAAGGAAGAUUAAUACCGCAUAACAUCACGAAAUCGCAUGGUUUUGUGAUCAAAGGAGCAAUCCGCUACAAGAUGGGCCCGCGGCGCAUUAGCUAGUUGGUGAGGUAACGGCUCACCAAGGUGACGAUGCGUAGCCGACCUGAGAGGGUGAUCGGCCACAUUGGAACUGAGAAACGGUCCAGACUCCUACGGGAGGCAGCAGUGGGGAAUAUUGCACAAUGGGGGAAACCCUGAUGCAGCAACGCCGCGUGAGUGAUGAAGGCCUUCGGGUUGUAAAGCUCUGUCUUCAGGGACGAUAAUGACGGUACCUGAGGAGGAAGCCACGGCUAACUACGUGCCAGCCGCCGCAGUAA